rnacentral:rRNA from 2 species
CAGGGAUUGCCUCAGUAACGGCGAGUGAAGCGGCAAAAGCUCAAAUUUGAAAUCUGGUACCUUUGGUGCCCGAGUUGUAAUUUGAAGAUAGUUUUCUGGUGCUGGCCCUUGUCUAUGUUCCUUGGAACAGGACGUCACAGAGGGUGAGAAUCCCGUCUGGCGGGGUGUCCAGUGCUUUGUAGAUUUCUAUCGACGAGUCGAGUUGUUUGGGAAUGCAGCUCUAAGUGGGUGGUAAAUUCCAUCUAAAGCUAAAUAUUGGCGAGAGACCGAUAGCGAACAAGUACAGUGAUGGAAAGAUGAAAAGAACUUUGAAAAGAGAGUGAAAAAGUACGUGAAAUUGUUGAAAGGGAAGGGUAUUAGAUCAGACUUGGUGUUUUGUGAUUAUCUUCCCUUCUUGGGUUGUGCACUCGCAUUUCACUGGGCCAGCAUCGGUUCGGGUGGUAAGAUAAUGACAUUGGAACGUGGCACUGCCUUCGGGUGGUGUGUUAUAGCCCUUGUUGAUGUUGCCUAUCUGGACCGAGGACUGCGGCUUUUGCCUAGGAUGCUGGCGUAAUGAUCUAACACCGCCCGUCUUGAAACACGGACC